rnacentral:lncRNA from 1 species
CUUUGAUUUUUUUUUUUUUUUAUGCCCCACCUACAAUAGUAGAGGGGCAUUAUGUUUUCUGGUCUGUGCCUCCGUUCGUUCGUCCGUUCGUUCGUCCCGCUUCAGGUUAAAGUUUUUGGUCGAGGUAGUUUUUGAUGAAGUUGAAGUCCAAUCAAUUUGAAACUUAGUACACAUGUUCCCUAUGAUAUGACCUUUCUAAUUUUAAUGUCAAAUUAAAGUAUUGACCCCAAUUUCAUGGUCCAC